rnacentral:lncRNA from 1 species
UUUGGAAGAUGGUCAAAAUCUGCAUAACUUUGUUUGGAUUUCAUUUCCUGAUAAUCUUAUAAAGAUUUUAGACCCACAUAUUUUAUGAAGAGAUGCUGGAGUUUCAAUACAAGAUGGAAACAGUGAGAAUCUUAUUCCAAGGGUAGAGCAGUGCUUAGUUUCACUUUUUAAGAUUGGACUUGUUUGUUCGAUGGAGUCACCAAAAGAAAGAAUGAAUAUUGUGGAAGUCAAUAGAGAACUAAUCAUAAUCAAAAGGCCUUUCUUGCUGGUGAGAUAAACUGAUAUUUAUAUAUGCUUAUUUGAAUGAUAACAAACUCAUUAAUUGCUUAUGGAUUAUUAUUUGAUUUUAAUAAUCUUAUUGAGCAUUUCAAGUU